rnacentral:rRNA from 1 species
AGUAAAUAGAUACCCGGGUAGUCCACGCCGUAAACGAUGAAUACUAGGUGUAGGGGUUGUCAUGACCUCUGUGCCGCCGCUAAACGCAUUAAGUAUUCCGCCUGGGGAGUACGGUCGCAAGAUUAAAACUCAAAGGAAUUGACGGGGGCCCGCACAAGCAGCGGAGCAUGUGGUUUAAAUUCGAAGCAACGCGAAGAACCUUACCUAGACCUGACAUCUCCUGAAUUACUCUGUAAUGGAGGAAGCCCUUCGGGGCAGGAAGACAGGUGGUGCAUGGUUGUCGUCAGCUCGUGUCGUGAGAUGUUGGGUUAAGUCCCGCAACGAGCGCAACCCUUAUUGUUAGUUGCUACCAUUAAGUUGAGCACUCUAGCGAGUCUGCCCGGGUUAACCGGGAGGAAGGUGGGGAUGACGUCAAAUCAUCAUGCCCCUUAUGUCUAGGGCUACACACGUGCUACAAUGGCUGGUACAGAGAGAUGCUAAACCGCGAGGUGGAGCCAAACUUUAAAACCAGUCUCAGUUCGGAUUGUAGGCUGAAACUCGCCUAC